rnacentral:rRNA from 1 species
AGUGAACGCUGGCGGUAGGCCUAACACAUGCAAGUCGGACGGCAGCACAGUAAGAGCUUGCUCUUACGGGUGGCGAGUGGCGGACGGGUGAGGAAUACAUCGGAAUCUACUUUUUCGUGGGGGAUAACGUAGGGAAACUUACGCUAAUACCGCAUACGACCUACGGGUGAAAGCAGGGGAUCUUCGGACCUUGCGCGAUUGAAUGAGCCGAUGUCGGAUUAGCUAGUUGGCGGGGUAAAGGCCCACCAAGGCGACGAUCCGUAGCUGGUCUGAGAGGAUGAUCAGCCACACUGGAACUGAGACACGGUCCAGACUCCUACGGGAGGCAGCAGUGGGGAAGAUUGGACAAUGGGCGCAAGCCUGAUCCAGCCAUACCGCGUGGGUGAAGAAGGCCUUCGGGUUGUAAAGCCCUUUUGUUGGGAAAGAAAAGCAGCAGGUUAAUACCCCGCUGUUCUGACGUUACCCAAAGAAUAAGCACCGGCUAACUUCGUG